rnacentral:rRNA from 1 species
UACCAGCUCUCCGAGUGGUAGGGAUGAUUAUUGGGCUUAAAGCGUCCGUAGCCGGCUUAGCAAGUCUCCUGUUAAAUUCAGCGACCUAAUCGUUGAGCCGCGGGAGAUACUACUAGGCUAGGAGGCGGGAGAGGUCAACGGUGCUUCCGGGGUAGGGGUGAAAUCCUAUAAUCCCGGGAGGACCACCAGUGGCGAAGGCUGUUGACUAGAACGCGCUCGACGGUGAGGGACGAAAGCUGGGGGAGCGAACCGGAUUAGAUACCCGGGUAGUCCUAGCUGUAAACGAUGCGAGCUAGGUGUUGGGGUGGCUACGUGCCACUUCAGUGCCGCAGGGAAGCCAUUAAGCUCGCCGCCUGGGGAUACGGCCGCAAGGCUGAAACUUAAAGGAAUUGGCGGGGAGCACCACAAGGCGUGAAGCUUGCGGUUC